UACGUAGGUGGCGAGCGUUGUCCGGAUUUACUGGGCGUAAAGAGCGCGCAGGCGGCUGGUCAAGUCCGAUGUGAAAGCUCCCGGCUUAACUGGGAAAUUGCAUCGGAAACUGAUCGGCUGGAAGGUGGGAGAGGGUAGCGGAAUUCCCGGUGUAGUGGUGAAAUGCGUUGAUAUCCACAGGAACUCCGGUGGCGAAGGCGGCACGCUGGACCUUUUCUGACGCUGAGGCGCGAAAGCCAGGGGAGCAAACGGG
rnacentral:rRNA from 1 species